rnacentral:ncRNA from 1 species
AUUAAUAAUAGAGGUCGCGAACCUCACNAAUUAAU